CCCUUAGAUGUCCGGGGCCGCACGCGCGCUACACUGAAGGAAUCAGCGUGGCUUUCUCCCUGACCCGAAAGGGUUGGGAAACCCGUUGAAUCUCCUUCGUGAUAGGGAUUGGGGCUUGAAAUUGUUCCCCAUGAACGAGGAAUUCCCAGUAAGCGCGAGUCAUAAGCUCGCGUUGAUUACGUCCCUGCCCUUUGUACACACCGCCCGUCGCUACUACCGAUUGAACGGUUUAGUGAGGGCCUCGGAUUGGUCUCGGCCCGCUCUUUACCGGGCGGCGCCGUUGGUCGAGAAGACGCUCGAACUUGAUCGUUUAGAGGAAGGAGAAGUCGUAACA
rnacentral:rRNA from 1 species